ACUCAUGGUUGUAGCGGU
rnacentral:misc_RNA from 1 species